GCCUAACACAUGCAAGUCGAACGGUGUAUAGCGCUGAAAAGGCUUCGGCCGAUUCUUUUUAUACAUAGUGGCGGACGGGUGAGUUACGCGUGGGGAACCUGUCUCAGACCGGGGGAUAGCAGCUGGAAACGGCUGAUAAUACCGCAUAAGCCUACAGGAUGGCAUCAUCCAGCAGGAAAAACCUCGGUGGUCUGAGAUGGACCCGCGUCUGAUUAGCCAGUUGGUAAGGUAACGGCCUACCAAAGCAACGAUCAGUAUCCGGCCUGGGAGGGCGGACGGACACAUUGGGACUGAGACACGGCCCAAACUCCUACGGGAGGCAGCAGUUGGGGAUAUUGCACAAUGGAGGAAACUCUGAUGCAGCGACGCCGCGUGAGUUAAGAAGUAUUUCGGUAUGUAAAGCUCUAUCAGCAGGGAAGAAAGACCUCGCAAGAGGGGAUGACGGUACCUGAAUAAGAAGCCCCGGCUAACUACGUGCCAGCAGCCGCGGUAAUACGUAGGGGGCAAGCGUUAUCCGGAUUUACUGGGUGUAAAGGGAGCGCAGACGGAAUGACAAGUCUGGAGUGAAAGCCCGCGGCUCAACCGCGUGACUGCUUUGGAAACUGCCAUUCUGGAGUGUUGGAAGGGUAAGUGGAAUUCCUGGUGUAGCGGUGAAAUGCGUAGAUAUCAGGAGGAACACCGGUGGCGAAGGCGACUUACUGGACAAUAACUGACGUUGAGGCUCGAGAGCGUGGGUAGCAAACAGGAUUAGAUACCCUGGUAGUCCACGCUGUAAACGAUGAAUACUAGGUGUUGGAGGACAAUAGUCCUUCAGUGCCGGCGCAAACGCAUUAAGUAUUCCACCUGGGGAGUACGUUCGCAAGAAUGAAACUCAAAGGAAUUGACGGGGACCCGCACAAGCGGUGGAGCAUGUGGUUUAAUUCGAAGCAACGCGAAGAACCUUACCAGAUCUUGACAUCCUGCUGAAUGGUCCGUAAUGGGGCCAGUCCUUCGGGACAGCAGAGACAGGUGGUGCAUGGUUGUCGUCAGCUCGUGUCGUGAGAUGUUGGGUCAAGUCCCGCAACGAGCGCAACCCUUGUCCAUAGUAGCCAGCAGUAAGAUGGGCACUCUAUGGAGACUGCCGGGGAUAACCCGGAGGAAGGUGGGGAUGACGUCAAAUCAUCAUGCCCCUUAUGAUCUGGGCCACACACGUGCUACAAUGGCGUAAACAAAGGGAAGCGAGCCUGUGAAGGUAAGCAAACCCCAAAAAUAACGUCUCAGUUCGGAUUGUAGUCUGCAACUCGACUACAUGAAGCUGGAAUCGCUAGUAAUCGCGGAUCAGCAUGCCGCGGUGAAUACGUUCCCGGGUCUUGUACACACCGCCCGUC
rnacentral:rRNA from 1 species